ACACACACAGCACACACAUAUAUCAGGGGUGUGAUUAGCAAAGGUAAAAAAAGAGGAAAAUAUACGUACCACGGAGUGACACCCCCCCCCCCCCCCCCCAUUGGUUUGAG